rnacentral:lncRNA from 1 species
GCUUACGUGGCGUACGAGCCUUAAGUCACCCAAUGUGACAGGCCAGUUGCUUGCCACCACUCUCCGCGGUUGACGCUCCCCUCAAGGGACCUUUGUAUAAACAAAACUAGUUUUCUGACCAUACUCACGCCAUCCGCGUAAGAGAACAGCAUCGAGUAUUAUACGUAAAAUUUUCCGACUAACUCGCUGUGCACUGCUGGCAGUAACUGACGGAAACCGCUGGGCAUCAGUCUUGCAGAUUUGCGACAGAGAGCGCGCUACCCGAAUUCAAAAACCUUGAAUAAAAUCGAUGCUCACUAUCAUUGAAAACGAUCGAGCCAUACUUUCAAUGCCACAAAUAGACAUCCCAGUGCACAGGUUGAUAUUACUCGAUGGAACACUGACAAUGAUACCGAACGUUAUAUGUACGACAUGUGAGUGAUGGAUCAAUGAAAAAUCAAGUGCGAAUAUGGAUUAUGUGAUAAUAUUAUCAUUACCAGUUAGAUCGUUCAAGUAACGAGACUUAAGAGCGGCAGUUUGGGCAUCGACAUCGGCUGACCAAACGUCGUGUCUCAAGAAGCUGAUUAG